GAUGAACGCUGGCGGCGUGCUUAACACAUGCAAGUCGAACGAAGCACUUUAUUUGAUUUCCUUCGGGACUGAUUAUUUUGUGACUGAGUGGCGGACGGGUGAGUAACGCGUGGGUAACCUGCCUUGUACAGGGGGAUAACAGUUGGAAACGGCUGCUAAUACCGCAUAAGCGCACGGCAUCGCAUGAUGCAGUGUGAAAAACUCCGGUGGUAUAAGAUGGACCCGCGUUGGAUUAGCUAGUUGGUGAGGUAACGGCCCACCAAGGCGACGAUCCAUAGCCGACCUGAGAGGGUAACCGGCCACAUUGGGACUGAGACACGGCCCAAACUCCUACGGGAGGCAGCAGUGGGGAAUAUUGCACAAUGGGCGAAAGCCUGAUGCAGCGACGCCGCGUGAGCGAAGAAGUAUUUCGGUAUGUAAAGCUCUAUCAGCAGGGAAGAUAAUGACG
rnacentral:rRNA from 1 species